rnacentral:tRNA from 1 species
GGCUCGGUAGCUUAGUUGAUAAAGCACCCGUCUAGUAUACGGAAGUCGUGGGUUUGAAUCCCAGCUGGGUAC